GUACACUCCUGCGGGAGGCAGCAGUGGGGAAUUUUGGACAAUGGGCGAAAGCCUGAUCCAGCCAUGCCGCGUGCAGGAUGAAGGCCUUCGGGUUGUAAACUGCUUUUGUACGGAACGAAACGGCCUUUUCUAAUAAAGAGGGCUAAUGACGGUACCGUAAGAAUAAGCACCGGCUAACUACGUGCCAGCAGCCGCGGUAAUACGUAGGGUGCAAGCGUUAAUCGGAAUUACUGGGCGUAAAGCGUGCGCAGGCGGUUAUGUAAGACAGUUGUGAAAUCCCCGGGCUCAACCUGGGAACUGCAUCUGUGACUGCAUAGCUAGAGUACGGUAGAGGGGGAUGGAAUUCCGCGUGUAGCAGUGAAAUGCGUAGAUAUGCGGAGGAACACCGAUGGCGAAGGCAAUCCCCUGGACCUGUACUGACGCUCAUGCACGAAAGCGUGGGGAGCAAACAGGAUUAGAAACCCGUGUAGUCCC
rnacentral:rRNA from 1 species